rnacentral:rRNA from 1 species
AGUCGAGCGGUAACAGGAAAUUAGCUUGCUAAUUUUGCUGACGAGCGGCGGACGGGUGAGUAACGCGUAGGAAUCUGCCUAGUAGAGGGGGACAACAUGUGGAAACGCAUGCUAAUACCGCAUACGCCCUUAGGGGGAAAGGAGGGGACUUUUCGGAGCCUUCCGCUAUUAGAUGAGCCUGCGUGAGAUUAGCUAGUUGGUGGGGUAAAGGCCUACCAAGGCGACGAUCUCUAGCUGGUCUGAGAGGAUGACCAGUCACACUGGGACUGAGACACGGCCCAGACUCCUACGGGAGGCAGCAGUGGGGAAUAUUGGACAAUGGGGGCAACCCUGAUCCAGCCAUGCCGCGUGUGUGAAGAAGGCCUUAGGGUUGUAAAGCACUUUCAGAGGUGAGGAAGGGUGCGUAGUUAAUACCUACGUAUUUUGACGUUAGCCUCAGAAGAAGCACCGGCUAACUCUGUGCCAGCAGCCGCGGUAAUACAGAGGGUGCAAGCGUUAAUCGGAAUUACUGGGCGUAAAGCGCGCGUA